rnacentral:rRNA from 1 species
AACCCUAGUUAAUAAAUUCCGGCGUAAAGCGUGUUAAAAAUAUGAUUAAAAUAAGAUUAAAAUUUGUCUAAGUUGUAAAAAACAAUAGAUAAAAAUAAGCUCAAUAACGAAAGUAAUCUUAAUAACUCUGUAUACACCAAAGCCAAGGCUCAAACUGGGAUUAGAUACCCCACUAUGCUUAGCCGUAAACAAAGAUAUUUCCUAACAAAAAUUUUCGCCUGAGAACUACUAGCAAUAGCUUAAAACUCAAAGGACUUGGCGGUGCUUUAAACCCACCUAGAGGAGCCUGUUCUAUAAUCGAUAAACCCCGAUAAACCUUACCACUUCUAGCUAAAC